UACGGAGGGUGCGAGCGUUGUCCGGAAUCACUGGGCGUAAAGGGCGCGUAGGUGGCGCGGGAAGUCAACGGUGAAAGUUCAGGGCUCAACCCUGAAUCGGCCGUCGAUACUCCCGGGCUUGAGCACUGUAGAGGCAGGUGGAAUUCCGGGUGUAGCGGUGGAAUGCGUAGAGAUCCGGAAGAACACCGGUGGCGAAGGCGGCCUGCUGGGCAGU
rnacentral:rRNA from 1 species